rnacentral:rRNA from 1 species
CACGCCGUAAACGAUGAGCACUAGGUGUCGGGGUCGCAAGACUUCGGUGCCGCAGUUAACGCAUUAAGUGCUCCGCCUGGGGAGUACGCACGCAAGUGUGAAACUCAAAGGAAUUGACGGGGACCCGCACAAGCAGCGGAGCAUGUGGUUUAAUUCGAAGCAACGCGAAGAACCUUACCAGGACUUGACAUCCCUCUGACCGCUCUUUAACAGGAGCUUCUCUUCGGAGCAGAGGUGACAGGUGG